rnacentral:rRNA from 1 species
CCUACGGGGGGCUGCAGUGGGGAAUAUUGGACAAUGGGCGCAAGCCUGAUCCAGCCAUGCCGCGUGGAUGAUGAAGGCCUUAGGGUUGUAAAGUCCUUUCGUUGGGGAAGAUAAUGACGGUACCCAAAGAAGAAGCCCCGGCUAACUUCGUGCCAGCAGCCGCGGUAAUACGAAGGGGGCUAGCGUUGCUCGGAAUUACUGGGCGUAAAGCGCACGUAGGCGGACUUUUAAGUCGAGGGUGAAAUCCUGGAGCUCAACUCCAGAACUGCCUUCGA